CGACGGGGACGCAAGUCUUGUAGUCGAUGAUCCUCUACUUACAAGAAAAGCUGCUAAACGUUGAAGCUGUUAGACCGUACCGCAAACCGACUCAGGUGGGCAGGAUGAAAAUUCUAAGGCGUUUGAGUGAAACCAGGUUAAGGAACUCGGCAAAUUAACACCGUAUCUUCGGUAUAAGGUGUGCCAGCUAUGUGUAGUACUUUACGUACGAAGCAAUGUCUGGUUGCAGAGAAGAGGGGGUGGCGACUGUUUACCAAAAACACAGCACUGUGCAAAGUCGUAAGACGACGUAUACGGUGUGACGCCUGCCCGGUGCUGGAAGGUUAAAAGGAGGGGUCAGCAGCAAUGCAAAGCUCCGAAUUGAAGCCCCAGUAAACGGCGGCCGUAACGAUAACGGUCCUAAGGUAGCGAAAUUCCUUGUCGGGUAAGUUCCGACCUGCACGAAUGGCGUAACGACUUCCCCGCUGUCUCAACCUGGUGCUCAGCGAAUUUGAAACCGGUGUGCAGAUGCACCGUACCCGCAGCAAGACGGAAAGACCCCGUGAACCUUUACUAUAGCUUGACACUGUUAUUCGGAUUGAUCUGUGUAGAAUAGGUGGGAGACUUUGAGGCUACGGCGCUAGCCAUAGUGGAGUCGUCGGUGAAAUACCACCCUGAUAAAUCUGGAUAUCUAACCUCGACCCAUUAUCUGGGUCAGGGACCGUGUCUGGUGGGUAGUUUGACUGGGGCGGUCGCCUCCUAAAAUGUAACGGAGGCGCGCAAAGGUUCCCUCAAGCCGGAUGGAAAUCGGUUGAAGAGUGCAAACGCACAAGGGAGCUUUACUGCAAGACGGACGUGUCGAGCAGUUACGAAAGUAGGCGUUAGUGACCCGGUGGCUCCGAAUGGAAGGGCCAUCGCUCAACGGAUAAAAGGUACUCCGGGAUAACAGGCUGAUCUCCUCCAAGAGUUCACAUCGACGAGGAGGUUUGGCACCUCGAUGUCGGCUCAUCACAUCCUGGGGCUGAAGCAGGUCCCAAGGGUUUGGCUGUUCGCCAAUUAAAGUGGUACGCGAGCUGGGUUCAGAACGUCGUGAGACAGUUCGGUCCCUAUCUGCUGUGGGCGCAGGAAAUUUGACGGGAUCUGUCCUUAGUACGAGAGGACCGGGAUGGACAUACCUCUGGUGUACCAGUUGUUCCGCCAGGAGCACCGCUGGGUAGCUACGUAUGGUAUGGAUAACCGCUGAAAGCAUCUAAGUGGGAAGCCAACCUGAAGAUUAGAUUUCCCUGGCUUCGGCCCUGAAGAUCCGUUCAAGACGAGGACGUUGAUAGGCUGGAGGUGGAAGCGUAGUAAUGCGCGGAGCUGACCAGUACUAAUCGAUCGUGCGGCC
rnacentral:rRNA from 1 species